UUUACUGGAUUACAAAUCUUCAGAAAAUGGGGAAACAGAGCAGAACCACAAUCAGGGACAAAGAAGACUUUGUUUACAGAUGCCCUAGGCCCAUUCAUAGGCAGUUUGCUUCACCAAGUGCUGCCUAUUUCUAUGGUGGAACAUUUCCACUGUGACCAUUUUCAACCUACUAGUACAUCAUAACUGAACAUGGACCUGGAAGAGAAACACAGAAGCAACCAUCAUACGAUAUUUCCAUCAUGCUGAUACAAUGGAGAUAAAUAACCUCAAGAAUAUAGGUCUGCUUCCUCAUCCAGGGUGAUGCAUUGAAUUGUGACACACAGGGGGCAGUGAAAUUAACUAUCUUUCCCGUGAGAAAUAAUUCAUCAUUCAGUGUUUGCUACUAAUGUGCCUCUGUUGCUAGUGAAUGAAGUCAUAUGAAGUGUACAGAAGUUGUGGAACAGAUGGGCACUACAUAAAUAUCAUUUAUGGAUCAUAAUGGCGACGACAAUCAUUUUCUCAUUUAUAAAUGGGAGGCAUUUGGACUGCAGCAAAGAAAA